UAUAAUAGAUGCAGGGAGAUCACACUUCACUAUUUUGUAAACUAUUCUGUAUCCUCGUGACUUAAGUUAAGGACGUCCGAUUGAUUAUUCAUCAUAACCGAAAAAUUGACCUGCAUCGAGAUUUAGAUGGCAAACUUCACCAUCAUUGGAGGAGAUGAUCCACUUUCCUUGAAGUCAAAAUCAAAAGUUUUAGCACCUGACGAUGGCACCUUCUUUGACAUGCAAAGGCCUAAAAUAUCAGCCAAUCAGUUGCCACCAC